rnacentral:rRNA from 1 species
UACGAAGGGGGCUAGCGUUGCUCGGAAUCACUGGGCGUAAAGGGUGCGUAGGCGGGUCUUUAAGUCAGGGGUGAAAUCCUGGAGCUCAACUCCAGAACUGCCUUUGAUACUGAAGAUCUUGAGUUCGGGAGAGGUGAGUGGAACUGCGAGUGUAGAGGUGAAAUUCGUAGAUAUUCGCAAGAACACCAGUGGCGAAGGCGGCUCUCUGGAACGGUACUGACGCAUGAGACGGCGAAAGCGUGGGAGCGAACGAGGC